rnacentral:rRNA from 1 species
ACGGGUGAGUAACACGUGGACAAUCUCGCCCCCCGGCCCGGGAUAGCCCAGGGAAACCUGGAUUAAUACCGGAUGAGACGGGACCCGCGAUGGCGGGACCCGGGAAAGGCGCUGCGGCGCCGCCGGGGGAUGAGUCUGCGUCCCAUUAGCUAGACGGCGGGGUAACGGCCCACCGUGGCGACGAUGGGUAGCCGGCCUGAGAGGGGUGGACGGCCACAUUGGAACUGAGACACGGUCCAGACUCCUACGGGAGGCAGCAGCUAAGAAUCUUCCGCAAUGGGCGAAAGCCUGACGGAGCGACGCCGGCCGUGAACGAAGAAGGCCGUGAGGUUGUAAAGUUCUUUUCGGGAGGGGGAACAACCGUGGCAGGGAAUGGCCGCGGGGAUGACGUGAAUCCCGGAAUAAGCCCCGGCUAACUACGUGCCAGCAGCAGC